rnacentral:tRNA from 2 species
GCUAGCGUAGCUCAAUUGGCAGAGCAGCGGUUUUGUAAACCGCAGGUUGUGGGUUCAAGUCCCUCCGCUAGCU